GCACUGGCUUAGCUCAGUGGUUACUUCCUCUGACACUUCAUCCUCUGGAUGAUCCUCAGUUCUUCCCUCAUCAGAGGGAUCAAACCACGGGUGCUGUCCAGUGUCUUU
ensembl:vault_RNA Vault Vault RNA